CCUACGGGAGGCAGCAGUGGGGAAUAUUGCACAAUGGGGGGAACCCUGAUGCAGCGACGCCGCGUGGGUGAAGGAGUAUUUCGGUAUGUACAGCCCUAUCAGCAGGGAAGAACAAUGACGGUCACUGACGAAGAACCACCGGCGAACUACGGCCCAGCAGCCGCGGUAAUACUUAUGGUGCAAGCUUUAUCCGUAUUUACUGGGUGUAAAGGGAACGCAGGCGGCGCGUUAAGCCUGGUGUGAAAGCCCGCGGCCCAACCGCGGGACUGCAUUGGGAACUGGCGCGCUGGAGUGCCGGAGGGGUAGGCGGAAUGCCUAGUGUAGCGGUGAAAUGCGUAGAGAUUAGGAGGAACACCAGUGGCGAAGGCGGCCUACUGGACGGUGACUGACGCUGAGGCUCGAAAGCGUGGGGAGCAAACAGGAUUAGAUACCCGGGUAGUC
rnacentral:rRNA from 1 species